UAAAAAUUUGACCAUCUGGACGAACGCCGACCCUCCACCGUGCGUUUCUGUCGAUAUUUUUUUUCACGCUCAAUCAAAAUAUGAAAUUAAUUUUCAGGAGUAGUAUUUCCAAAUAGAUGCGACAUUAAAAUCUUCAAGAAAAUAGUAAACUUCGACGUAAAAGGCCAGCAACGUACUUGCGAUUUCUCCGGUGUAGCGGGUGCCUAUAAAUGGCGGUAAACAUACAACAGACUACAAUCCCAAAGGAGCUCCGUAUAUUAAUUUAUGAAACAUUAUUUUUAGUCUAUUUAUUAUUAGAUCCUUUACCUGUUGUUGUUUAUAGAAAAUAAUUUUGUACUAACUUGAAAUACUCAUCGAAUUAAUGGAAAUAUUAAUCAUUAUUUUCUGUUUUUUUUUUUGGUUACAAUUAUUUUGUUUAAUUCCGCUACCAUUAGUAUGUGUGCGACUGCCAACACUCGAAGAUUGACUACUAUUAGUAUUAACUUCCUACAACUUUAAAUUAGUCGGUAUUAUAAUACCAGAGGCAAUUAAUGUUUCCAGAGAAGACUUUGUACAAAAGUCGAUUGCUUGGGUACCUCUGUCCCAUUCGUGUUUCUAUCGUGAAGCAAUUGUGUUUGCAUGGCUGUGUUUCCAUUUGAAAGAUGGGAUAUGGCGUGAAUUUACAGGGUCCAGAGGAAUAACACCCGAGUCCUUAGGAAUGGCAACGCAUGGGGGGGAUCAUGGGUGAAACAGUAUACUCUGUUAUGUCCAUGGUACUGCUCAUGUCUAUAGGCGAUGAUAACCACUUUCUAUCUGUUAGAGCGUCAGCUUGUUUGCCAUUCUAAGUUGUAUAAAAAAAAAUAUAUUAGUAACAUUUAACAUCUUAGAUAUAUAAUUUAUUUGCAUCACUUAGCACAGAAAUAACAACAUACGGUAAAGAGAAAAAAAGAAAAAUACAUAAAAGAAGUAAAAUAUUUUUUUUCUUUUCAUAUGUGCGCCACAGGUGUGUAACACAAAAUGGCCAUAAUUCAUUUUAUUGCUUUGUCCUCAAAAGAGCAAAACACUGGUUUUCUCUUAUAGCCAAAAGUCAGGCGAGAAAUUCCUUGAUAAAAAAGAAUUAAAUAAAAUUAAAUACAAUUUAAGCUCCUUAGAAAACUUAUCCGAUUUGAAAUUGGAACGGAAUUCAAAUUUAAUUUCUAGGGCAAGGUUCGCCAGUCCAUAUAUUUAUAGAAUUAAGAACCCUAACAGCAGUAUCUCCGAACAGGUAUGAUAUUGAUAUCUUCAUGAAAAGAGCAUAUUCCUUCCUAAAAGUUAGGCAACAUACCCACAAUGUCUAUUUUUCUGUGCUAAUCACUUACUAUCAAGUGAGCCGCAUUCUCGUAAGCACCUUGUGUUUUAGAAAAAAAAACUUAUUCUCUGUAUUAGGUGGAAAUAUCGAUUAAAAGUUACUAGCUUAUUAUUAUUUUGUUUAACGUUAUCUGUUUGAUAAUAGACAAAGGAACACCCAACAGUUUUCUCUUUAUACGAUAGUAAAAACUAAAUUUUAAUAGAAAACAAAAAAAAAAUACAAAAUGCAUAAAUGUAAAAAGAGCUUUAAAUAUUGUUUUAUUCUUUAAAUAUAUAUUUUUUUUACUUUUUAAUUAUCUUAUCUCUAAUUAUAUAUCUAGAUUACCUUUCUCUUCUAUUUAGAUAUUUAUAGUUUAUGGUUACUAAGAUAUAGCAUUAUGAUGUACAUAUAUAAUAAAGCAUAAUAAUUUCUUUAUUUUUCAACUCCUGCUUUUAGCGGCAAACUAUCAAUCUGCAGUAUAUUGUUGUUAUCUGUUAUUCAAACUAAAUGUUUAUAGAAAUAGUAAAAUAAAAUAUUUGAUAAGGAAAAAACUUUAUGAUUUCGUAAUAAAUUUGAUAUUCGAAUCAUAAUGGCAAUAAUAAAAAUAAGAGAUCUUAUUUCUGAGAAUAGUAGUGUUUUUUUCUUAGUACUGUUAUUUUUUAUACUUAUAUAAUUCAGACCUAUGUUCUCAGUAACAAUUUGAUAAGUUAACCUAACAGAUGAUUUGCCCCAGUUAUUGUAUUUGGGAAAGUUUGUUCCCGUAUAAAUUUGAAUUGUAUAAUAAAUACCCUUCAUAAAUAUUAAUAUUGAAUCUGUUCUGAAUAAAUAAAGUUACUUAUUAGGCGAAGUGAGAAAUUUCACCUGUUAUAAGUUGUAUGUUUUGAUAAAAACAUAAAGAGCUGAGCUCGAUCGAUAUUGGAGCUUCAAACUGAAAUAUCACUGUGACUUUAGAGUUCUGUAGUC